GGGCUACUCUCUAUUGGCAUGCAUUUGUAUAUUUCAGCUGACACGCCAAAGGAGAGCUGCCCUG
rnacentral:pre_miRNA from 1 species